rnacentral:rRNA from 1 species
GCCUCCUGAAUUGUAGUCUAGAAAUGCGCCAUCGGCCGCGCCCGCCGCUCAAAUCCCUUGGAACAGGGUAUCGGAGAAGGUGAGAAUCCUGUGCCGUGGUGGCGCGCGGCCGCACGAUGCGUUCUUGUCGAGUCGGGCUGCUUGGGAGUGCAGCUUGAAGUGGGUGGUAAAUUCCAUCUAAAGCUAAAUACUGGCGAGAGACCGAUAGCGAACAAGUACCGUGAGGGAAAGAUGCAAAGAACUUUGAAAAGAGAGUUAAAGAGUGCUUGAAAUUGGCAGGAGGAAACCCGAUUGCGCCCGCUGUUGCGUGGCAUCGACUCAGCCGUGCGCGUGCCUGUCUGGGACCGUAAGGCCCUUUUGGCUGUAGCGCGCGGUGCACUUCGGUGUCGCGCGUCAGCCGCGGCUGGCGUGGCGCGAGAGCGCGCGGGGCAGGGCUUCGGUGAGCCCCGCGUUUGAGCGCCUUGCUGGCCCCGGCUGACUGACCGGGCGCAACCGACCCGUCUAGAAACACGGACCAAGGAGUCUGACAUGUGUGCGAGUACAUGGGUGGCAAGCCCAGGUGCGCAAUGAAAGUGAAGGGCGUGCCCCGCCAACCGACCUUGACCUGCUGUGAAGGGUUUGAGUGGAGCAUGCAUGCCGGGACCCGAAAGAUGGUGAACUAUGCCUGAGGAGGGUGAAGCCAGAGGAAACUCUGGUGGAGGCUCGUAGCGAUACUGACGUGCAAAUCGUUCGUCGAACUUGGGUAUAGGGGCGAAAGACUAAUCGAACCAUCUAGUAGCUGGUUCCCUCCGAAGUUUCCCUCAGGAUAGCUUGAACGCCGACGGUUUUG